rnacentral:lncRNA from 1 species
GAGAUUGAAAUUUAGUCCUACAGAAAUUAUAUUAAUGGAUCUCACAUAUUCUCAUGUCAUCUUGAAAAUUGAAUUUAUUUGAUUCUGAUAGAAAAUCUAUAACAAAACUCAAAAUGGCUCAAUAGGAGCUUUACAGUUACUCCAGUAGGCCAAUCUAAGCUCAAGCUUGGAUUCAACUUAGCUAUUCAAUUAGCCAUUCAUUUAUGAAGCUUAUAUGCCCCUCCAAAUCCACCUGAAAAGUAGACAAUCUUCAUCAACACAUGUUUCUUUCUUGUCUUCAUCAUUUGUCUUCUUUAAUAAUUACACCAUGAAAACAUAUAUAUUGAUACAACUUAUUUAACCCCCAACACCAUUUCAUCAAAUUCAAGCUAGUAUGCCUCAACAUUCAAACACAAGAAAUAAGCAUUCAAGAAAUGGAAAAAGUUGUCUACCUCUUUUUCUUUUCGUUUAUUUCUUUUUUUUUUUUUUUAUUCUUAUUAUUCUUUCCUUCUCCCUUUUUGCUAGGAUUGUGUUCAACUUCCACAGCUACUGAAUCCUCUGUUUUGUGUGUAUGGGCAUAAAUAGUGAUGUGAAUCCUUAGUUUAGACAACUGUUUCUAUAGAUAUAGAAGUGAUCUACUCAAAAUAAUUCCUUAUAAUGAUGAAUGAAGUUUGAGUAUUGAUUCGUAUCAAUUUUCAAUAAAAAAUAAUUAUAUACCCUCAUUAGUAGGAAUGAACCCUAAUUAAUAAUUUCAAAAUUAAACUAAAGCAUUCAUAGUUGAAAUUAGAGAAAAAUAUAUAAAUAUAUAAAUAAAAUUGCAAGUGGGACAUCAAGUGGGGUCCCUGAAUUAGAAACUCCAUAGAAUAGGAUAAUACUCCUUCAAUUAAUAAAAAAUUAGAUUUUCUUUUUCAAAUAAAAUACACAUACAACUGUUUAGCAAGCAAAAGAUAUUGAUGCUCACCGUCACGGGUCAAUGUAUUUGGAGCCAUGAAUUUCGAGGCGCCGCAUUGCGUCCACAGUCCACAGUCUC